UACCGCCUACGGGGCGCAGCAGUGGGGAAUAUUGGGCAAUGGGCGCAAGCCUGACCCAGCAACGCCGCGUGAAGGAAGAAGGCUUUCGGGUUGUAAACUUCUUUUCUCAGGGACGAAUAGAUGACGGUACAUGAGGAAUAAGCCACGGCUAACUAUGUGCCAGCAGCCGCGGUAAUACGUAGGUGGCAAGCGUUAUCCGGAUUUACUGGGUGUAAAGGGCGUGUAGGCGGGGACGCAAGUCAGAUGUGAAAACCACGGGCUCAACCUGUGGCCUGCACUUGAAACUGUGGUUCUUGAGUACUGGG
rnacentral:rRNA from 1 species